UCAGAAGUGCGAAUGCUGACAUAAGUAACGAUAAAGCGGGUGAAAAGCCCGCUCGCCGGAAGACCAAGGGUUCCUGUCCAACGUUAAUCGGGGCAGGGUGAGUCGACCCCUAAGGCGAGGCCGAAAGGCGUAGUCGAUGGGAAACAGGUUAAUAUUCCUGUACUUGGUGUUACUGCGAAGGGGGGACGGAGAAGGCUAUGUUGGCCGGGCGACGGUUGUCCCGGUUUAAGCGUGUAGGCUGGUUUUCCAGGCAAAUCCGGAAAAUCAAGGCCGAGGCGUGAUGACGAGGCACUACGGUGCUGAAGCAACAAAUGCCCUGCUUCCAGGAAAAGCCUCUAAGCAUCAGGUAACAUCAAAUCGUACCCCAAACCGACACAGGUGGUCAGGUAGAGAAUACCAAGGCGCUUGAGAGAACUCGGGUGAAGGAACUAGGCAAAAUGGUGCCGUAACUUCGGGAGAAGGCACGCUGAUACGUAGGUGAAGCGACUUGCUCGUGGAGCUGAAAUCAGUCGAAGAUACCAGCUGGCUGCAACUGUUUAUUAAAAACACAGCACUGUGCAAACACGAAAGUGGACGUAUACGGUGUGACGCCUGCCCGGUGCCGGAAGGUUAAUUGAUGGGGUUAGCGCAAGCGAAGCUCUUGAUCGAAGCCCCGGUAAACGGCGGCCGUAACUAUAACGGUCCUAAGGUAGCGAAAUUCCUUGUCGGGUAAGUUCCGACCUGCACGAAUGGCGUAAUGAUGGCCAGGCUGUCUCCACCCGAGACUCAGUGAAAUUGAACUCGCUGUGAAGAUGCAGUGUACCCGCGGCAAGACGGAAAGACCCCGUGAACCUUUACUAUAGCUUGACACUGAACAUUGAGCCUUGAUGUGUAGGAUAGGUGGGAGGCUUUGAAGUGUGGACGCCAGUCUGCAUGGAGCCGACCUUGAAAUACCACCCUUUAAUGUUUGAUGUUCUAACGUGGACCCGUAAUCCGGGUUGCGGACAGUGUCUGGUGGGUAGUUUGACUGGGGCGGUCUCCUCCUAAAGAGUAACGGAGGAGCACGAAGGUUGGCUAAUCCUGGUCGGACAUCAGGAGGUUAGUGCAAUGGCAUAAGCCAGCUUGACUGCGAGCGUGACGGCGCGAGCAGGUGCGAAAGCAGGUCAUAGUGAUCCGGUGGUUCUGAAUGGAAGGGCCAUCGCUCAACGGAUAAAAGGUACUCCGGGGAUAACAGGCUGAUACCGCCCAAGAGUUCAUAUCGACGGCGGUGUUUGGCACCUCGAUGUCGGCUCAUCACAUCCUGGGGCUGAAGUAGGUCCCAAGGGUAUGGCUGUUCGCCAUUUAAAGUGGUACGCGAGCUGGGUUUAGAACGUCGUGAGACAGUUCGGUCCCUAUCUGCCGUGGGCGCUGGAGAACUGAGGGGGGCUGCUCCUAGUACGAGAGGACCGGAGUGGACGCAUCACUGGUGUUCGGGUUGUCAUGCCAAUGGCACUGCCCGGUAGCUAAAUGCGGAAGAGAUAAGUGCUGAAAGCAUCUAAGCACGAAACUUGCCCCGAGAUGAGUUCUCCCUGACCCUUUAAGGGUCCUGAAGGAACGUUGAAGACGACGACG
rnacentral:rRNA from 1 species